CAAUGAGUUGGCAGGACUCUGGUUAAUUCUGGAAAGAGGAGCAUAAACCACUAUUGUAUGCCUCCCAAAUCAUGCCACUGCCUCCAGAGAGCUAAGCAAUGUCACUCUCCCUAAGUUCAAAGAUCUUGAAAGAAAAGUCGGUGAAGAAGGAAAAUACCCAAGAUAGUGUGUGAGGACCGUGCCUGGUUCUUGGCCUUUGAUCUGAAGAUUUGGCAGCCAGGAUACCAAAUCUGUACCCAACCUUGUCACUGGUCCCAGCAGCUGUUUGAACUCACCCGCGGGGAUGGCAGCAACCCUGCUUCUGAAAGAACAGCAGAAGGGCUUACGUGCACUGCGCCUUGAAGAGCGCCUGAAAGGAAGGUCAAAGGUCAAGAAAAGAUAAAGUGCCAAACAAGGAGAUCAGUAACGCGGGGCCUUCUUGAUGAAAUCCUAAUGUCUGCUUCUUCAGGACUCGGGACUCAUAACUUCGUUUCAAAGCAGGCUCGUUUUGCUGGCGUCUGUGUGUGCAUGUGCGUCUGUGGAUUUGUGUCUGUGUGCGAUUGUGUGAGUGUAUGUGUGUAUGUGUGUGUGUGUGUGCUCGCACACUCCGGGCUUUCAGGCGGAUCACUGUCCAUCUGAAAGCCUAUUCAGUUGUGCGUGUCCUGAGCACUUUGUCUUACACAGCCUGCAUUACUCUUGUAAACAGAGACAGCAUCAAAGUGAGAGCAGAGAGUCCCAUCAGUGGAUUAAGGCCUUCUGCAUGAUAAAGUAGCUACCUAGGGGGGAUAAACUUAAUAUGUGAAAGAAUGUUAUUGAGAGGAAUAAAGUCCCAAAA
rnacentral:lncRNA from 1 species